rnacentral:rRNA from 1 species
AGCGGAUGAAGGGAGCUUGCUCCUGGAUUCAGCGGCGGACGGGUGAGUAAUGCCUAGGAAUCUGCCUGGUAGUGGGGGAUAACGUCCGGAAACGGGCGCUAAUACCGCAUACGUCCUGAGGGAGAAAGUGGGGGAUCUUCGGACCUCACGCUAUCAGAUGAGCCUAGGUCGGAUUAGCUAGUUGGUGGGGUAAAGGCCUACCAAGGCGACGAUCCGUAACUGGUCUGAGAGGAUGAUCAGUCACACUGGAACUGAGACACGGUCCAGACUCCUACGGGAGGCAGCAGUGGGAAUAUUGGACAAUGGGCGAAAGCUUGAUCCAGCCAUGCCGCGUGUGUGAAGAAGGUCUUCGGAUUGUAAAGCACUUUAAGUUGGGAGGAAGGGCAGUAAGUUAAUACCUUGCUGUUUUGACGUUACCAACAGAAUAAGCACCGGCUAACUUCGUGCCAGCAGCCGCGGUAAUACGAAGGGUGCAAGCGUUAAUCGGAAUUACUGGGCGUAAAGCGCGCGUAGGUGGUUCAGCAAGUUGGAUGUGAAAUCCCCGGGCUCAACCUGGGAACUGCAUCCAAAACUACUGAGCUAGAGUACGGUAGAGGGUGGUGGAAUUUCCUGUGUAGCGGUGAAAUGCGUAGAUAUAGGAAGGAACACCAGUGGCGAAGGCGACCACCUGGACUGAUACUGACACUGAGGUGCGAAAGCGUGGGGAGCAAACAGGAUUAGAUACCCCGGUAGUCCACGCCGUAAACGAUGUCGACUAGCCGUUGGGAUCCUU